UGGGGAAGCGCUCUGGAUCCUACUUCCGCUUCGCUUCCUCUGGGCAGGUCCAGCUUACUUGGACUGAAACUCGUGGGUCAGGUCCUUAGGACCUUCCUUUUCUUUACUGUCUUUUCCAUUUUGUAAUCCUUGCUUAGCGAUUAACAAAGCCUUUGUUUUCUUACUUUUUUUUUUUUUUUUUAAAUACACAUGGAGUCUUGUUCUGUUGCCCAGGUUGAUCUCGAACUCUCGGGCUCAAGCGAUCCUCCUGCUCGGCUUCCAAAUUGCUGGGGUUCCAGGCAUGAGCCACCGUGCCUGGCCUUAUUUUCUUUCUAAUUUUAUUUCAAGUAUUGCAUUAUUCUAAACCCCACAUUGACGAAUAUCAUCCACCUGCUCAGCAGCUAUAAAUGGUGGAGUUAGCACAUGGGUUCAAAAACCCUUGGAGAAUGGGCGCAGCGACUCACACCUGUAAUUCCAGCACUUUGAGAGGCCGAUGCAGGAGGAUUGCUUGAGUCCAGGAGUUUGAGGCUGCAAUGAGCUAUGAUGGCACCACUGCCCUCCAGACUGGGUACACAGUGGUAUCAAGAAUGGACAUUGAUCUACUUGUCACUCAGCUUAAAAAAUGAAACAUCAACAAUGCAGUUGAAGCCCCCUGUGCACCCUUCUCCAAUUGCAUCCGUCUCCUGCCUCCCUGCUACCGUCAUUCCCAGAUGAGGAAAUAGAUGCAAGAAUGGAGACCUGCCCAAUGUCAAACAACCAAGAAGCAAAACUGAAACGGGAACCUGACUUUCUGGGCAGCAACUUCAAUGCCUUCUUAUAGGUUCAUUAUUGUUGUUAUACUUUUAUUAUGCUUCUAUUGUGCUGUGUAAUUUGUUUUUAAAAAUUCAAAUUAACCUCUUGUAGACAUUCAUUGAAAUACAUUUGUUGAGCACCUGUGUAAACUGCUCACCAUUUAGUUGGGAGAAAGGUAAAUAAACAAAGUUACAAAGACAAAACAUACUUUGCAAUUUGGAGACUUAAUAAAUGUUUCUGAUGACAGUGUGAUGACAGCUUGUAAAUUAAUAAUCACAAUGAAGGCUGGGCAUGGUGGCUCAAGCCUGUAAUCCCAGUACUUUGGGAGGUCGAGGAAGGCAGAUCAUGAGGUUAGGAGUUUGAGAACAGCCUGGCCAACAUGGUGAA